AUACGUAGGUGGCGAGCGUUGUCCGGAAUUACUGGGUGUAAAGGGCGUGUAGGCGGGGAUGCAAGUCAGAUGUGAAAUACCGAGGCUUAACCUCGGGGCUGCAUCUGAAACUGUGUUUCUUGAGUGUCGGAGAGGAAAGCGGAAUUCCCAGUGUAGCGGUGAAAUUCGUAGAGAUUGGGAGGAGCACCAGUGGCGAAGGCGGCUUUCUGGACGACAACUGACGCUGAGGCGCGAAAGCGUGGGGAGCAAACAGGAUUAGAUACCCUGGUAGUCCACGCCGUAAACGAUGGAUACUAGGUGUGGGAGGUAUCGACCCCUUCUGUGCCGGAGUUAACACAAUAAGUAUCCCACCUGGGGAGUACGGCCGCAAGGUUGAA
rnacentral:rRNA from 1 species